UCGCCUGUUUAUCAAAAACAUGUCUUUUUGAUAAUAAUUUAAAGUCUAAUCUGCCCACUGAUAAAAUAUUAAAGGGCUGCAGUAUAUUGACUGUACAAAGGUAGCAUAAUCAUUAGUCUUUUAAUUGAAGACUUGUAUGAAAGAUUUGAUGAAAUAUAAACUGUCUCUAAUUUAUAAUUAGAAAUUAAUUUUUUAGUUAAAAAGCUAAAAUAAAAUUAAAAGACGAGAAGACCCUAUAGAGUUUUAUAUUUUAUUUUUUUAAUAUUAAAAAUAUAAUUAAAUUAUAUUAAGUAAAUGAAAUAUUAUGUUGGGGUGAUAAAAAAAUUUAAUAAACUUUUUUUAAAAAAUUAACAUAGAUAAGUGAUUAAUUGAUCCAUUAAUAAUGAUUAAAAGAAAAAAUUACCUUAGGGAUAACAGCGUAAUAUUUUUUUUUAGUACAAAUAAAAAAGAAAGUUUGCGACCUCGAUGUUGGAUUAAGAUAAAAUUUAAAUGCAAAAGUUUAAAAUUUUGAUCUGUUCGAUCAUUAAAAUCUUACAUGAUCUGAGCUCAAACCG
rnacentral:rRNA from 1 species